rnacentral:rRNA from 1 species
GACGAACGCUGGCGGCGUGCUUAACACAUGCAAGUCGAACGGAAAGGCCCUGCUUUUGUGGGGUGCUCGAGUGGCGAACGGGUGAGUAACACGUGAGUAACCUGCCCUUGACUUUGGGAUAACUUCAGGAAACUGGGGCUAAUACCGGAUAUGAGCUCCUGCUGCAUGGUGGGGGUUGGAAAGUUUCGGCGGUUGGGGAUGGACUCGCGGCUUAUCAGCUUGUUGGUGGGGUAGUGGCUUACCAAGGCUUUGACGGGUAGCCGGCCUGGGAGGGUGACCGGCCACAUUGGGACUGAGAUACGGACCAGACGCCUACGGGAGGCAGCAGUGGGGAAUCUUGCACAAUGGGCGGAAGCCUGAUGCAGCAACGCCGCGUGCGGGAUGACGGCCUUCGGGUUGUAAACCGCUUUCGCCUGUGACGAAGCGUGAGUGACGGUAAUGGGUAAAGAAGCACCGGCUAACUACGUG